rnacentral:rRNA from 1 species
AGUGAACGCUGGCGGCAGGCCUAACACAUGCAAGUAGAACGGUAGCACAGAGGACCUUGCUCCUUGGGUGACGAGUGGCGGACGGGUGAGGAAUAUAUCGGAAUCUACCCUUUCGUGGGGGAUAACGUAGGGAAACUUACGCUAAUACCGCAUACGAACUGAGGUUGAAAGCGGCGGACCGCAAGGCGUCGCGCGGAUGGAUGAGCCGAUAUCCGAUUAGCUAGUUGGCGGGGUAAAGGCCCACCAAGGCGACGAUCGGUAGCUGGUCUGGGAGAAUGAUCAGCCACGCUGGAACUGAGACACGGUCCAGACUCCUACGGGAGGCAGCAGUGGGGAAUAUUCGACAAUGGGCGCAAGCCUGAUCCAGCCAUGCCGCGUGUGUGAAGAAGGCCUUCGGGUUGUAAAGCACUUUUGUUGGGAAAGAAAUCCUGUCGGUUAAUACCCGGCGGGGCUGACGGUACCCAAAGAAUAAUCACCGGCUAACUUCGUGGCAGCCGCCGCGGUAA